rnacentral:rRNA from 1 species
UACGUAGGAGACGAGCGUUGUCCGGAAUUACUGGGCGUAAAGCGCGUGUAGGCGGAUGAGCAAGUCUGCUGUGAAAGCUCCUGGCUUAACCGGGAGUGGUCAGUGGAAACUGCUCGUCUGGAGGACGGUAGAGGUAGGUAGAAUUCCCGGUGUAGUGGUGAAAUGCGUAGAGAUCGGGAGGAAGACCAAGGGGGAAGCCAGGCACCUGGGCCCGUACUGACACUCAUGGACGACCGCGUGGGGAGCGAACCGG